rnacentral:rRNA from 1 species
UACGUAGGGGCCGAGCGUUGUCCGGAAUUAUUGGGCGUAAAGGGCUCGUAGGCGGUUUGUUGCGUCGGGAGUGAAAUCCUCCAGCUUAACUGGAGGCUUGCUUUCGAUACGGGCAGACUUGAGGUAUUCAGGGGAGAAUGGAAUUCCUGGUGUAGCGGUGAAAUGCGCAGAUAUCAGGAGGAACACCGGUGGCGAAGGCGGUUCUCUGGGAAUUACCUGACGCUGAGGAGCGAAAGUGUGGGGAGCGAACAGG